rnacentral:rRNA from 1 species
GACGAACGCUGGCGGCGUGCUUAACACAUGCAAGUCGAACGGAAAGGCUCUGCUUGCAGGGUACUCGAGUGGCGAACGGGUGAGUAACACGUGGGGGAUCUGCCCUGCACUUCGGGAUAAGCCUGGGAAACUGGGUUUAAUACCGGAUAGGAGCCAUUUUUAGUGUGAUGGUUGGAAAGUUUUUUCGGUGUAGGAUGAGCUCGCGGCCUAUCAGCUUGUUGGUGGGGUAAUGGCCUACCAAGGCGGCGACGGGUAGCCGGCCUGAGAGGGUGGACGGCCACAUUGGGACUGAGAUACGGCCCAGACUCCUACGGGAGGCAGCAGUGGGGAAUAUUGCACAAUGGGCGCAAGCCUGAUGCAGCGACGCCGCGUGGGGGAUGACGGCCUUCGGGUUGUAAACUCCUUUCGCUAGGGACGAAGCUUUUUGUGACGGUACCUAGAUAAGAAGCACCGGCUAACUACGUG